rnacentral:rRNA from 1 species
GACGAACGCUGGCGGCGUGCCUAAUACAUGCAAGUAGAACGCACAGUUUAUACCGUAGCUUGCUACACCAUAGACUGUGAGUUGCGAACGGGUGAGUAACGCGUAGGUAACCUGCCUGGUAGCGGGGGAUAACUAUUGGAAACGAUAGCUAAUACCGCAUAAUAUUAAUUAUUGCAUGAUAAUUAAUUGAGAGGUGCAAUUGCACCACUACCAGAUGGACCUGCGUUGUAUUAGCUAGUAGGUGAGGUAACGGCUCACCUAGGCGACGAUACAUAGCCGACCUGAGAGGGUGAUCGGCCACACUGGGACUGAGACACGGCCCAGACUCCUACGGGAGGCAGCAGUAGGGAAUCUUCGGCAAUGGACGAAAGUCUGACCGAGCAACGCCGCGUGAGUGAAGAAGGUUUUCGGAUCGUAAAGCUCUGUUGUAAGAGAAGAACGGGUGUGAGAGUGGAAAGUUCACACUGUGACGGUAUCUUACCAGAAAGGGACGGCUAACUACGUG